CACCAGUUAGGCUGCUCUUCAGAAAGAUCUGUAAUAGCGACCAGGUGCAGUGGCUCACCCGUGUAAUCCCAGCACUUUGGGAGGCCGUGGUGGGUGGAUCAUUUGAGGUCAGGUGUUGGAGACCAGCCUGACCAACAUGGUGAAACCCUGUCUCUACUAAAAAUACAAAAAAAUUAGCUGGGCGUGGUGGUGCAUGCCUGUUAUCCCAGCUACUUGGGAGGCUGAGGCAGGAAAACUGCUUGAACCCAGGAGAUGGAGGUUGCAGCGAGCCAAGAUCACACCACUGUACUCCAGCCUGGGAGACAGAGCAAGACUCUGUCUCAAAAGGAAAAAAAAAAAAAGCAUCAGUAAUAACAACUCACUUUGAAGCCUUCCACCUAAGCGACUGGUAUUUUUCUUAAGAGCAGGUGUGCACAAUCAAGAAAACAUAUAGGCCAGCCACAGUGGUGCCCAGCAUUUUGAAAGACCAAGUGGGAGGAUCACUUGAGGCCAGGAAUUCAAAAUCAGCCCUGGCAACAUAGCAAGAACCCAUCUCUACGAAACCAUUUAAAAAUAGCUGGGUAUGGUGAUGUGGGCCUGUAGUUCCAGCUAUUGGGGAGACUGAGGUGGGAGGAUCCCUUGAGCCCAGGAGUUCGAGGUUGCCGUAAUCUAUGAUCGUAUCACUGCACACUCCAGCCUGGGGGACAGAGGGAGUCCCUGUCUUGAAAAACAAACAAAAAACCACACAUAUAUUUUAACUGAGUUUUCUAUUACUUGUAGCCAAAAUAUCCUUCUUUAGUGCUUUACUUAGAAAUGGCUUUCACAUACACUUUUAAAAAAUAAUAGACUGUUUUUGAUAAUAGUUUUAGGUUUAUAGGAAAUUGAACAGAAAAUAUAGUUUCCAUAUACACUUCCCACCCAACCCCCAUUUUCCUUUAUUAUUAAUGUUUUGCAUUAGUGUGGCACAUUUGUUACAACUGAUGAACCAGUAUGAACUAAAACCUGAAAUUUAUUAGAAUUAGAAUUUACUCUUGUACAUUCACGGGUUUUGACAAAUGUGUCCACCCACCCUUACAGUACAUCCUUACAGCACAGUUUCACUGCCUAAAAAUCCUCUCUGCUCCAUCUACUCAUUUUACCCUCCCUUCAACCCCUGGCCAUCACUAAUCUUUUUGCUGUCUCCGUAGUUUUGCGUCUUCCAGAAUGUCAUAUAGUUGGAAUCAUACAGUAUGUAGCACUAUAAGACUGUUCACUUAGCAAUAUGCAUUGAAGUUUCUCCACGUCUUUUCAUGGCUUGAUAGUUCAUUUCUUUUUAUCAUUGAACAAUAUUCCAUUUAUUCAUUCACCUAUUGAAAGACAUCUUGGUUACUUCCAAGUUUUGGCAAUUAUUAAUAAAGCUGCUAUAAACAUUUGUAAGCAGGUUUGUGUUUUCAACUCAUUUGGGUUGAAAUAUUUUCUCUCAGUUUGAGGCUCAUCUGUCAUUCUCUUAACAGUGUCUUUCACAGAGCAAAACUUUUUAAGUUGAAUGUGUUGGGAAAAAGCUGAAUGUUGGGAGGGAAACUGAGGCAGGGCCUGCCUAAUGUCCUCUGGAAUGUGUCUCGACUUGCUGGCUCCUUGCUUCUAGCCCUCCUAGGCUCCUAGUCUCCUAUUCCCAUUAUCUCAAGUAGCAGAACAUGUUCCAUAUAAAUGUUGAACCAUCACAGCUGUAAAUCAUGUGCUUAAUGCAAUGUGCCCUUUUGACCUCCAAAUUCUC
rnacentral:lncRNA from 10 species